rnacentral:rRNA from 2 species
CAAACGACUCUCGGCAACGGAUAUCUCGGCUCUCGCAUCGAUGAAGAACGUAGCGAAAUGCGAUACUUGGUGUGAAUUGCAGAAUCCCGUGAACCAUCGAGUUUUUGAACGCAAGUUGCGCCCGAAGCUUCGGCUAAGGGCACGCCUGCCUGGGUGUCACACAU